CUUACGGAAUACGGCCCCGGGAAACUGGGAGUAAUACCGGAUGUGCCCCGUUAACGGGGGGGAAAAGAAUUUUCGGCAAAGGAUCGGCCCGCGUUGGAUUAGGUAGUUGGUGGGGUAAUGGCCUACCAAGCCGACGAUCCAUAGCUGGUUUUGAGAGGAUGAUCAGCCACACUGGGACUGAGACACGGCCCAGACUCCUACGGGAGGCAGCAGUGGGGAAUCUUAGACAAUGGGCGCAAGCCUGAUCUAGCCAUGCCGCGUGAGCGAUGAAGGCCUUAGGGUUGUAAAGCUCUUUCGUGGGGGAAGAUAAUGACGGUACCCCAAGAAGAAGCCCCGGCUAACUCCGUG
rnacentral:rRNA from 1 species